CCAUCGUGAUGGCUGUGCCCGUCAUUUGUGUGGAGCUUCUGUCAAGGAUUUUCAGAGCCUGAUGGAUUUACAGUGACACUCAACCACCUGGGAA
rfam:Tupaia belangeri cont1.762734, whole genome shotgun sequence.